rnacentral:piRNA from 1 species
GCCCCUGGAAGAAGAGGACUGCU